GGGGGUGACUGGCUUCGACAGUGAAAUCAGCGCAUCUAAAUGCGCGGCAAAGCUGGAGUGCCUUUCAAAUCCACUUCAAAAUUCAAGUGCGAACAAAGCAUUUGCGCCGUCUUACGCUUUAGCCUAAGCGGCCGUCCACGAGUGUAGAGCUUGAGUAAGCUCGCCGGGCGUCAUUCUUCAAGCACUGACAGACGGUGUCCGACGUUUGUCUAAGAUCAGGACUCGACAUGUCGCGUUUCUGUUCAUCUUUUAUUCGGCAUGUUUAAACCUUCAGAUGACCUACGCCGCGUAGAAUUUUCCCUGCGUUUUUCACUGGACUCGGGAUCAUUCCCCGACACCUCCACCA
rnacentral:tmRNA from 2 species